ACUGGUACUCAAUGAUACAGAACUGUUUCGCGUAGGUUGUAAUUUCUGUGUUUUGGGGGACUUCUGGUGAUAUUGUUAUCACAAGUAACAUAUAUAUCCCUUUAUCCCUCUCUUUUAACCCACUGUGGCCGUAGCAAGAGAGAAGAGAAAGAUAGCUUAGGGAGAAGCUUGGAUUUGAGAAGAAGUGUUUUCGGAGAUUUAAACUUCAACCUUAGCCUUCCAAAGGUGGGAUUGAAGCUUGAUCAAGGUAGUGGAGGAGCUUGGGUGGAGUUCGGGUGUCGUCAACGUCGCGCCGCGAUGCCGUUCGAGCGUGUAUUCGUCGUCGUGGUGCUGCGAGGAGGCUGGAUGAGCGUGGAUUUUUGCCAUCAUCAACGUUGUGCCGGUUCUAGAGGGGUUUUCGAGAAUUCUAGCGUCGACCGUCGGCGUUUCGGCUCGUGUGCGCCGUAGGAGCGUCGGAUUUCUGCGAAACUUGAUUUGUUGGAUUCUAGACUUCGAGAGAAAUCCACGAUGCCCAAGAUUACUGAAUUUGGUGAAGGUUAGCUUGGUCAAACUCCCACUCUUCUCUGCUGCUGUUGCUUGGACAGAAUCUCAAGCUUUGAGUCUUCUUUGAUGCUAACAUUGGAGGAAUUGGAAUGUUUACACCAGGGAUGCAUACUCCAACCUAGAUUACUAGAUUAGGAACCUUGCUUCACUAGGAUUGAGGUUUGGGGGAUCAUUAGAGAGGUGUGGUUGCUGGUUGUGAGCGGACUCGAUUGAGUUUCCUGGUGGUUCGUGACUUCCUCGCUGUCGGCGUUUAGCUUGAGAGAGCCAUCGUCGUCGGCUGCUACUGAUCCUGAUCGUGGCAAGGGCGUCGUGAGUUAGAGUCCUACCCGACGAGCCAGAGCUAGUGGAGUACCAGCUACAGAGCCUUCCAUGGAGGGUGAGGCUAGGGAUCGCAGCAAGAACUCAAUGAGUAGUUAGAGCCACUUGUUGUUGCUAUAGAUGGACCUUGACGCCUUUCUUUUAAUUUUAGUUGUGAAAGGUGUAUUUUUAUAUAGAGACCACCUUAUAUUCAUGCGAUAUAUCUUUUGUUUAAUUAGUAUAUCCUGUGAUGUAUUAUUGGUAAUAGUUGUUAGUUUUAAUUUUUAUUGUUAAGCUAUUAUGCUAUAAUUAUCUUGCGUAGAAUGUGUACAUUUUUUUUUUCUGCUAUAUUGUUAUAAACGCCUUGUAUA